GGCCAUGUGGUGAAGUGGUUAACACGGCGGUCUGCAAAACGGCUAUGCGCCGGUUCAACUCCGGCCAUGGCCUCCA
rnacentral:tRNA from 1 species